GGCUCUCAAGAAGAAGAUCCACCCGCCCCAGGCCGAGUCCCAUGACCAGGUCACACCCCGAAGCGAGCAUGGAGCCAGCCCGCUCGUGGAAGAGGCCACACCUCGCGCCACGCCCGAACCGCCGACCGGAUAUCGCGCUGGCAAGGCCAAGUCGGGCUCGCGCAAGAUACCCAUUGAAGAGGUAGCGGAUGAACCGCCCAUUGUGGCUGCCGAACCGGCACCCGUGGUUCAUCCAACGCCCGUAGUGGCUGCGGCACCACCUCCAUCACCUGCUCCGGUCCAACCAGCACCGGUUCCAGGAAAGAAAGAAAAGGCAUCAGUCCAGACGAGCCGAGCCCCGCCCAUCGGGAAGCUCCAGCCCCGAGAGUUAAUCUCAGUGGUGAAGAAGACCGCACUCGACGACGGAGAAGUCCAGCAACUGAUCGAUAUCCUGCUGAACAAGCAGGCCGGCAGUUCGGCCGGCUCGCCCGCCACCGAAUGGAUCGAACCCACGGCCAAAGGGGCCCAGAACGAGACCAAGAAUCUUCAGCGGCAGUUGGUCGAGAAAGAGACCGCUCUCGAGGAUGAACGUGUCAAGGUCAAAUCCAUAACUGAACGCAUGCACGUGCUUCGUCAAGAGCUCAACCAGGUCAAGUCCGAGCUCGUCGGGAGCCAAAGAGCCCACGAGGAGACGAAAGCGCGCGCCCAUCAAGAGCUGAACACCGUCUCCCAUCGCUUGAAGGCUGAUCAGGAGGGCCUUCAGCGCGAUCUAGCCCAGUAUCAGACUCAAUUGACCUAUCAAAUGGGCCAGAAUCAGACGCUUCAAGGGGUGUGCGACCAACUCGCCGCAGAGAAACAGCAAUGGCUGGCCCAAGUUCAAACUGCGCCGGUUGUGGACCCUCAAAUCUAUGCGGAAUUGGAGCAGCUACGUUUGGCUAAAAUCAGUCAGGAUAGCCACAUUGCAGACUUGACUAGUCAAAUGGCCGAACGACAGGUCGAGGUCGACCGAUUGGCCCAGAAGCUGGGCGAGGCCGAACACAAGCAUGCCCAAGCCGAGCAACAGGUGUCCCAAGCCCAACAAGAGGUCCAAAGCUUUCAGACCAAGGAAAAGGCCUCCUCGAAGAGCAUUGUCGAGAAGGCCAAAGAAAUCGAGGAGCUUAGGAGCCAGGUCGGCGAGCUGACCGGCCAAGUCAAGAAAAGUCAAGUCGACCUAGGGCGAUUGGAGGAGGAAAAGGAGCGAUUGGCCGCAGAAUUGACCGAGAAGGUCGAGCGUCCACGGGCUGAUGGUGAAGAGAGUCAAGGCACCUCCUCCAAUGGCGUGAAUGGACAUCACGGAUCCAUUGAGGAGCAUCAAAUACAGCAGCAACAACUGCAACAACACAUGACCUCGGCGGUUGUUGCCCAGGAAGAGAGCUCUGCGUGGCAAUUGAAGUACCAGAAUGCCGUUGAACAGAAGGAGAUCUUAGUGAAGGAGAACGAAGCCGCCCUUUCCAAGUUGCAUGCCGAAAUCUCGGCCUACAAGAAGCAACUUCAGGAUAUUCAAUCAGAACUGGAGACGCAAAAGGCCAAAAAUGAUGAGUUACGAACCAAAAAUUGGAAGGUCAUGGAGGCCUUGAGUGCUACCGAGAGCCUCUACCAAAAACUGCUCAAAAGCAAGCAGGACCAACAACAGCAACCACCACCUAUUUCCUCCUCCAUCACCUCGUCCUCUUCUUCUCAAACUUCUACUACCAAAACCACUUCCUCCUCUUCGCAGGCUGACUUUUCUGGGGCAAUGCAAAAGGCCAAGAGUGAUAGCGAAAAUGCCCACAAGGCCCUCCUUCUGCGGCUGUUCCCCGGAGUGGAUGUGGCCUCCUCCGGCCACCAAAGCCACGAGCAAUGGCUCGAGGCAUUCUCGACCGAGGUCAAGAGGCAUUUCGAGGCCGCCCAAGGGGCCUCCAAUGGCAAAGAUCAUGAGGACGAAUCUGCCGAGACCGUGGAGCAACUCCAGAAGAAGAUUUCAAAUUAUAAGAGUAUACUAGCACAUACGGAGACCAUGUUAACCAGUCUUCAGGAUUCUGUGGAGAGUGAGGAGCAAACUUGGAAGACCCGCCUCUCCGACAAGGAGAGUGAGCUCUCCACUCUUCUUGUGGAGCGAGAUUCUCUCCUGGAGAAAAACACGGCCUUGGAGGAGUCCCUCAAGGUUCUGAAGCAAGCAGAGGAGAUCGAGCCUGAGUCUGGCGAGCCUCAAAGUUUUGGGGUCCAUUUCGCUUUGUCGACAAUGGAACGAGCUUUGCCCCAAGUUUUUGAUGAGAUGCAAGAAAUUCUGCAUGAACUCCAGCAAAAACUUGCCAAAGAAGAACAAGAGAAGCUCCGUCUGAUAGAGGAAAGAUCCAUGACCGAGAAGCAUUCCGUGGAGGCAGCCAAGAUGAAAGAGGAAUUGGAUUCCAUGAGAAGCAAGUUGGUUGAGGAGGAGAAGAAGAACGUAGAUCUUGGCCUUCAAGUAGCGAAGCUAAAUCAGUUGGUGCCCCAAAACCAAGAGGAGGCCUCUUCGCCCGAGAAGAAGAAAACGAUCGAGCUGAGUCAUGUCAAGAUGGUUGACGAGGACCUCAAGAGUCCUUCCUUGGUCAGCAGCAUUCUUCAGGACUUUAGCAGUCCAUCCAGAGAGACCCAUGACUCAUCGGAUUCGGAAUCACAGAUGGGCAGAGAUUCACUUGACUCACCUACCACUCCGGUAGCAAAUGGAGCAACCAAGUUGGAAAAUGAGCGUUCAGCAUCUAAAACGUCUCAAUCAUCCUCAAAACUGGGAACUUUGGAGUCUCCGGAACAAUCGACCACACCGAGCAAAAAGAAAUCGAAAAAAAAUAAGUCGAGCUUCGUUCGUAAGUGUUGAACCGCUGUCAUUCACGAUGGUUGGAAGCGAUGAGGUUGAAGUGCUCACCGAAUACCAUUUGUACAUUUGUUCUUCUUUGUGAUGUGGCUUUCCUCUUUGAAGUGAUCGAAUACCUAAACACGAAUAAGUGACCUGCUUUAAUGCUAUCUAACUUCUUCAAGCUCCUGGGCCUUUUCAAGUAAAAAGACUGACGUUAAGCCGUUCAUCGCCAACGCCCAAGAAAAAAAGUCAUAUCGAGCCAUUGUUGCUCCAUGACCCAUUCCAGUAGGAGCCUGUAUGAUCAUGGUGUAAGCCGUUUGCGAUCCUCUAUCCCUUCAGCUGCCACAGCAGCAUCAACAGCAUCAUCCACAAUCGGCAAGGGUUCGCCUAAGAUCGCGACCCGUGAUCAUCCGGGGAAGUGAUUCAUUCCGCAUUGCGAGUGGUAUAAUCACGUGUGACUAUUUUACCUCUAACCCUAAAAUAUCAUCACCCCGCCCGUAUGAUUCAUAAUUGUUCUCAAAAGCACGUCUAUUUUUGCCCAUAGCAUUUUCGUUGGUUUGGCCCUCGUCGCCCCACAUAAUUUUAAGGAGUUUUAUUUUCAAUUUAGCCCAUGGGCACUACUUCUGACUGGGCUAAUUUUGUUGCAUAUUUUAUGGCUGCCCAACUCCCCAAGAUGCCAGCAAUCUUCUACUGUAAGAGUUAUUUUUGUCUUUAUUUUUCUUAUGAUUAUUAUUGAUGUUCUCAUUACCAUAUUCUGAAUGCUAACGACAUUCACAAUUGUGAUCAACCAAUCCAUGACGACAAAAUAGUGAUGAUUCUUCUUCUCCUCCAAGUUCCUUUUGUCAUCGAUUCUUGUACUGAUGUUGAACUGUCCAGAUCAAUGAUAACGAAUAAACAUACCCGGAAUUGCUAACUGA